CCAAAGCCAAGUAGUAGCCAACAAGGAAGCAGAGACUUAACUAAGAAUGUGAUCAAAGAAAUUAUCAGAUGGAAAUAAUUCUCCUAGAUCUGCAUGUUCACAAUUGAAUGUCAGUUUUCCAUGUGCUACUUAUCCCUCUGGCAUUCUCACUACUCCUUCCUCAACCCUGUUGAUGAAGACAACUGGAUCAUGGCAACCUCUGAGUGUGUUCUCACUCGUGGUGUCUCUUCUAUGCUGUAGACUCUUCAUCACUUGGUAUCAUUACAAGCAUCAACCACUGAUAAAGCACCCAUAACUGACACUGGAGAAUACAAGGAUAAACAGCAUUUACAUGCACAUGCUAGUAGCAGUCACCAACUAAAGCCAAGGCAACCCACAAGAGCCACAUCCCAGAG